rnacentral:rRNA from 1 species
CCUACGGGUGGCAGCAGUGGGGAAUAUUGGGCAAUGGGCGCAAGCCUGACCCAGCAACGCCGCGUGAAGGAAGAAGGCUUUCGGGUUGUAAACUUCGUUUCUGAGGGACGAAGAAAGUGACGGUACCGCAGGAAUAAGCAACGGCUAACUACGUGCCAGCAGCCGCGGUAAUACGUAGGGGGCAAGCGUUAGCCGGCUUUAUUGGGUGUAAAGGGCGUGUAGGUGGGAAAGCAAGUCCGAUGGGAAAACUCAGGGCUCAACCCUGAGCCUGCAUUUGAAACGGUUUUUCUUGAGUGCUGGAGAGGCAAUCGGAAUUCCGUGUGUAGCGGUGCACUGCGUAGAUAUACGGCGGAACCCCAGUGGCGAAGGCGGAUUGCUGGACAGUAACUGACGCUGAGGCGCGAAAGCGUGGGGAGCAAACAGGAUUAGAUACCCCUGUAGUC